GCCGACCUGAGAGGGUGAUCGGCCACACUGGGACUGAGACACGGCCCAGACUCCUACGGGAGGCAGCAGUAGGGAAUCUUCCGCAAUGGACGAAAGUCUGACGGAGCAACGCCGCGUGUAUGAAGAAGGUUUUCGGAUCGUAAAGUACUGUUGUUAGAGAAGAACAAGGAUAAGAGUAACUGCUUGUCCCUUGACGGUAUCUAACCAGAAAGCCACGGCUAACUACGUGCCAGCAGCCGCGGUAAUACGUAGGUGGCAAGCGUUGUCCGGAUUUAUUGGGCGUAAAGCGCGCGCAGGCGGUCUUUUAAGUCUGAUGUGAAAGCCCCCGGCUUAACCGGGGAGGGUCAUUGGAAACUGGAAGACUGGAGUGCAGAAGAGGAGAGUGGAAUUCCACGUGUAGCG
rnacentral:rRNA from 1 species